rnacentral:rRNA from 1 species
AGCGAACGCUGGCGGCAGGCCUGAUACAUGCAAGUCGAACGGAUCCUUCGGGAUUAGUGGCGGACGGGUGAGUAACACGUGGGAACGUGCCCUUUGGUUCGGAACAACUCAGGGAAACUUGAGCUAAUACCGGAUAAGCCCUUCGGGGAAGGAUUAUCGCCAUUGGAGCGGCCCGCGUCUGAUUAGCUAGUUGGUGGGGUAAAGGGACCUACCAAGGCGACGAUCAGUAGCUGGUCUGAGAGGANGAUCAGCCACACUGGGA